rnacentral:tRNA from 1 species
GCCAAGGUAGCGGAGUGGCAACGCGGCUGAACUGUAAUCAGCAGGUCCUGGUUCAAAUCCGGGCCUUGGCU